UACGUAGGGUGCGAGCGUUAAUCGGAAUUACUGGGCGUAAAGCGUGCGCAGGCGGUUGUGCAAGACCGAUGUGAAAUCCCCGGGCUUAACCUGGGAAUGGCCGUCGAAACUGGCGAACUGGAGUGUGGCAGAGGGGGGUGGAAUUCCGCGUGUAGCAGUGAAAUGCGUAGAGAUGCGGAGGAGUACCAAUGGCGAAGGCAGCCCCCUGGGAUAAUAUUGACGCUCAUGCACGAAAGCGUGGGGAGCAAACAGG
rnacentral:rRNA from 1 species